CCUACGGGUGACAGCAGUGAGGAAUAUUGGUCAAUGGGUGAGAGCCUGAACCAGCCAAGUCGCGUGAGGGAGUACUGCCCUAUGGGUUGUAAACCUCUUUUGUCGGGGAGCAAAAGCCGGACGUGUCCGGCUGUGAGAGUACCCGAAGAAAAAGCAUCGGCUACCUCCGUGCCAGCAGCCGCGGUAAUACGGAGGAUGCGAGCGUUAUCCGGAUUUAUUGGGUUUAAAGGGUGCGCAGGCGGAUUUUUAAGUCAGCGGUAAAAUCGUGGGGCUCAACCCCAUCCAGCCGUUGAAACUGGGGAUCUAGAGUGUGCGAGAGGUAUGCGGAAUGCGUGGUGUAGGGGUGAAAUGCAUAGAUAUCACGCAGAACACCGAUUGCGAAGGCAGCAUACCGGUGCACAACUGACGCUCAGGCACGAAAGCGUGGGUAUCGAACAGGAUUAGAUACCCUUGUAGUC
rnacentral:rRNA from 1 species